AGUGAACGCUGGCGGUAGGCCUAACACAUGCAAGUCGAACGGCAGCACAGUAAGAGCUUGCUCUUACGGGUGGCGAAUGGCGGACGGGUGAGGAAUACAUCGGAAUCUACUUUUUCGUGGGGGAUAACGUAGGGAAACUUACGCUAAUACCGCAUACGACCUACGGGUGAAAGCAGGGGAUCUUCGGACCUUGCGCGAUUGAAUGAGCCGAUGUCGGAUUAGCUAGUUGGCGGGGUAAAGGCCCACCAAGGCGACGAUCCGUAGCUGGUCUGAGAGGAUGAUCAGCCACACUGGAACUGAGACACGGUCCAGACUCCUACGGGAGGCAGCAGUGGGGAAUAUUGGACAAUGGGCGCAAGCCUGAUCCAGCCAUACCGCGUGGGUGAAGAAGGCCUUCGGGUUGUAAAGCCCCUUUGUUGGGAAAGAAAAGCAGCAGGUUAAUACCCCGCUGUUCUGACGGUACCCAAAGAAUAAGCACCGGCUAACUUCGUG
rnacentral:rRNA from 1 species